AAGGUUUUAAGUUAAAGUAAACUAAUAGCCUUCAAAGCUAUCAAUAAAGGAGGUUCUUUAAGCCUUA
rnacentral:tRNA from 1 species